rnacentral:lncRNA from 1 species
UCAUAAAAACCAAAACCGGACAAACAUUAGACUACUCAGUUGCUCCCUAACAGUAUAACUUUGCAAUGAGUACUUUUUCUCAUUCAAUCAAACAAAGAGUAAAACCUAAUUAUAUUAUUCUAUUAUUCCCCGAGUGUGUAAAUUUGCAACGUAUCGAUGUCAACGUUCACAAAAACCAAAACCGGACAAACAUUAGACUACUCAGUUGCGCCCUAACAGUAUAACUUUACAACGAGUACUUUUUCUCCUUCAACCGAACAAAGAGUAAAACCUAAUUAUAUUGUUCCAUUAUGCCCCGAGAGUGUAAAUUUGCAACGUAUCGAUGUCAAUGUUCACAAGAACCAAAAUCGGAAAAAUAUUAGACUACUCAGUUGCUCUAUAACAGUAUAACUUUGCAAUGAGUACUUUUUCUCAUUCAAUCAAACAAAGAGUAAAACCUAAUUAUAUUAUUAUAUUAUGCCCCGAGUGUGUAAAUUUGCAACGUAUCGAUGUCAACGUUCACAAAAACAAGAACGGAACAAACAUUAGACUACUCAAUUGCGCUCUAACAGUAUAACUUUACAACUAGUUCUUUUUCUCCUUCAACCGAACAAAGAGUAAAACCUAAUUAUAUUGUUCCAUUAUGCCCCGAGAGUGUAAAUUUGCAACGUAUUGACGUCAAUGUUCACAAGAACCAAAAUCGGUGAAAUAAUAGACUACUCAGUUGCUCCCUAACAGUGUAACUUUGCAAUGAGUACUUUUUUUAUUCAAUCAAACAAAUAGUAAAUCCUAAUUAUAUUAUUCUAUUAUGCCCCGAGUGUGUAAAUUUGCAUCGUGUCGAUGUCAACGUUCACAAAAACUAAAACCGGACAAACAUUAGACUGCUCAGUUGCGUCCUAUAACUUUACAACGAGUACUUUUUCUCAUUCAACCGAACAACGAGUAAAACCUAAUUAUAUU